rnacentral:rRNA from 1 species
UUUAACGGCCGCGGUAUUUUGACCGUGCGAAGGUAGCGUAAUCACUUGUCUUUUAAAUGAAGACCCGUAUGAAUGGCACGACGAGGGCCACGCUGUCUCCUUUAUCUAGUCAAUGAAAUUGAUCUACCCGUGCAGAAGCGGGUAUGCCACCAUAAGACGAGAAGACCCUAUGGAGCUUUAGACACCAGAACAGACCAAGUUAAGGCACCUAUAUUAAUGGGACUAAACCAGGAGGACCCCUGUUCAAUUGUCUUUGGUUGGGGCGACCGCGGAGGAGAACAAAACCCCCGCACGGAAUGGGUAAAACCCCUAAGACCGGCNCCGCAGGCCUGGUCAGCAGAACAUCUGGCCACCAAGAUCCGGCAACGCCGAUCAAUGACCCAGUUACCCUAGGGAUAACAGCGCAAUCCCCUUCUAGAGCUCACAUCGACAAGGGGGUUUACGACCUCGAUG